AUAAAAAUGAAAAUUAUUUUUUUUUUUUGUCUUUUUUCUCGUAAAAUUUUCAACUACAUGAAAAGUCAAGGGGCGUUAAGGGGCUAAAUAAUUUGGUCAUCAGUGCUUUCGCGUAUUUGGUAGCGCAUAGUGUAUAUUCCAAGCGCUCAGGUUACUGUUCCACUUUUUUUUUCUUAUUUCGUGUAUAUAAAAGUUAAAAACCCAAAUUCAACAUGGAUGCCAUUAAGAAGAAAAUGCAAGCUAUGAAGCUUGAAAAAGAUAAUGCCGUUGAUAAAGCCGAUGCAUGUGAAGCUCAAGCUAGAGAUGCAAAUGCACGUGCUGAUAAAAUCAAUGAAGAAGUAUCUGAUUUGGGUAAAAAAUUAGUUCAAGUUGAAGCUGAUUUAGUUUCAUCUAAAGAGCAAUUGGAAAAUUCCAAUAAAGAAUUGGAAGAAAAAGAAAAAUUAUUAACUGCUACAGAAUCUGAGGUAGCAACAUUAAAUCGUAAAGUCCAACAAAUUGAAGAAGAUUUAGAAAAAUCUGAAGAACGUUCUGGUACAGCUACACAAAAAUUAUUGGAAGCUACACAAGCUGCUGAUGAAAAUAACCGUAUGUGUAAAGUACUCGAAAAUCGUUCACAACAAGAUGAAGAACGUAUGGAACAAUUGUCAAAUCAAUUAAAGGAAGCACGUAUGUUAGCUGAAGAUGCUGAUUCAAAAUCUGAUGAAGUAUCACGUAAAUUGGCCUUCGUUGAAGAUGAACUUGAAGUAGCUGAAGAUCGUGUAAGAUCCGGUGAAGCAAAGAUCAUGGAACUUGAAGAAGAAUUGAAAGUUGUAGGUAACUCUCUUAAAUCUUUGGAAGUUUCAGAAGAAAAGGCCAACCAAAGAGUAGAAGAAUUCAAACGUGAAAUGAAGACAUUGACUGUUAAAUUGAAGGAAGCUGAAACUCGUGCCGAACACGCUGAAAAACAAGUCAAGAGGCUUCAAAAGGAGGUCGACAGGCUAGAAGACCGUUUGUUCCACGAAAAAGAAAAAUACAAAGCAAUCUGCGACGAUUUGGAUUCAACAUUUGCCGAACUUACAGGAUAUUAAAAACUUUCAGUAUAUAUAUAUAUAUAUAUAUAUAUAUAUGUACUUGUAUAUAUGUAUAUAUAUACAUAAUAAUUACAACAUCCCUUAAUUCACCCAUAUACACAUAUAUAUAAAUAUAUACAUAUAUAUAUAUAUAUGUUUAUAUUUAUUUUCUAAAUUAAAUUUCUUUAUCUCGGACGUAUUAUAUGAAAAAAAAAAAGAAAAAACCAAAAUAAUAAAAAUGAAAUUAUUUAAAUUUUUUUAUUGUAAAUCUCAUAUUAAAAAUUAUUGAUGUUUUUAUCAAUUUUAAAACAUAACCACACACACACACACACAAUUAUACAAAAACACUAUACUACCCAAAACAAUCUCUUUCAUAUACAUUUAACCUGCAAUAUCACUUUACAUACUAUAUUCUUACAUUAUAAAUAGUUCACUAAUAUUAUAUAGCGGUUAUAUUAUAUAAUAUUAGUAGAAUUAAGAUAAUUUCGAAUUAUAUAUUUUCUUUAUUUUUAAUAAAAUAGCGAUUAUAUUUAUAUUAUUUUUUUUCUUUUUAAAUUAUUAAAUUUUUCAAUUUAAAUUAUAUAUAUAUAUAAUAUACAUACAUAGUUUGCGUGUUGUUGUGUGUAAAUUUUUUUUCGAAUUUAUUUUAAUUGCAAUAAAAAAAAAAUAUUUUUUAUCAGAUCAAAAAUAAUUUUUAUAUAUAGGAAAAAUAAAACACUUAUUUACAAAAAAAAUUGUCACCUAAAAUUCGUUUUGAGAAUUUUUGACCAUUUUAUUUUUGUCAACAUUUUUAUAAUAUCAUUUAUAAUUCUCUUUUCUUUCAAUAUAUACCCGUAUAUAACAUCAUUAUAAUUUAAAAUAAUAAGGUAUAUAGAAAAUAUAUACAUUUUUUUCAAUUAAAAAACCAAACAAUCAAUUUUGUAAAUAUUUAUCAUUAAUUAAAAACUAUUUAAUUAAAACAAAAAAAUAAAUUAUUAAUUGUUAAAACAUUAAUAAAGAAAAGAAAACGUAGCUAAAUAAAAAUCACUCAAAAUAUUUCGUAAAUCUUAUUCUAUAUCGUUAUUGUUCAUAAAAUCAAAAAUUUAUAUAAGUAAUUUAUUAUUAAUAUCAAAUUAAGUCCCUUAUACAGUAAAAUUUUACAUAUAUAUAUAAAAAAUAAGAAAGUUUUUUUUCUUCCUGCGUUCUAUUUAUAUAUUUACACAUAUAUAUUUUUACAGAUAUACAUAUGAAAAUAUAUGUAUUAAAUAUUGUGUUUUUUUAAUUUGUUUCAAAUAUUAAAAAUUAAUAUUACUUGGAAUCAUGAUAUAUAUAUAUAUUUAUACGUAUAUAUAUAUUUUGUCAAUUUAUUAUUCUUUAUUUCUUAUUUACAAAUAUUAAAAAAAAUCAUUUUGUGUAUAAUAUUACUCCUAUAUAUAUAAUAUACAUAUUAAAUUAAUAUAAAUUAUAAUUAAUUGUUAAAUUAUUGUUUUCAUUUUUUUUUUACCUAAUUUAUUAAUAUUUUUUAUUGACAUUAUUAAUUUAUUAUUAAUAAAUUAUAUAUAUUUUAUAGGCCAAAAUAUUACUUUUUUUUUCAUUUUAUACACAAAUAUACAAAUACAUAUACAUGUACAUAUACAUAUACAUACAUAUAUCAUUAAUAACUUUUUUUAAUAUAUAAAAAUAUUAUAACAAUUAAAAUUAAAAAAUAUACAUUAAAUGCUUAACAAAACAAUUAUUAAUAACAUCAAUAAAAUGUAUAAUUGUAUAUUAAAUAAAACUAAAAAAAAACAACUAUUAUGUGAUGUAUAUUAAAAAAAAAAACAAACGAACAAGAAUUUUUUUUUUAUUUUUUAUAAAAAAAAUGCCUUCGCUUCGCUAAAAUUAAUUUAUAUAAAAAAUAUCUAAUUAAAAAAAAUAUACAUAUAAUAAAAAUGUAAUAUAAUUAAAUUAAUAUUAUGAACAACGCCGCCUAUUUUGAGUAUAUAUAAACUACUAAUACAGCUUUAAUAAAUUAUAUACUACUUAUAUAUAAUAUUUACUGGCCGAUAAAACAUAAUAUUUUUUUUUGGAAAAGACGAAUUGGGCAUCAACAAAGACAGAUACAAGAGUCUUGCCGACGAAAUGGAUUCCACAUUUGCCGAAUUGGCCGGUUAUUAGAAGAAAACAAGGAACAACAAAAAAUUCGUUUAUUCUUUUAUCAGAUAUGUAUAUAUAUAUAUAUAUAUAUGUAUCUAUAUAUAUAUGUAUGAAUAUAUACAAUAAAAUAUUAAAUAAUUAAUAUAGAACAUCUAAUAUUUGUAUUACAUGUAUAUAUGUAUAUACAUAUAUAUAUAUAUUAUAUAUAUGCGAAUAUAUAUAUAUAUCAGCAGUUUUAUACUUCAUAUAUAUGAAAAAUCAAAUAAAAGGAAAAAAUUAA